UACAGAGGGGGCAAGCGUUGUUCGGAAUUACUGGGCGUAAAGGGCGCGUAGGCGGUUCGUUAAGUCUUGUGUGAAAUCCCCCGGCUCAACUAGGGAACUGCACAGGAAACUAGCGGGCUUGAGUUCGGGAGAGGGAAGCGGAAUUCCGGGUGUAGCGGUGAAAUGCGUAGAUAUCCGGAGGAAAACCGGUGGGAAGGCCGGUUUCCUGGCGCAACACUGACGCUGAGGCGCGAAAGCUAGGGGAGCAAACGGG
rnacentral:rRNA from 1 species